rnacentral:lncRNA from 1 species
UUUCGGAUCUGAUGCACGGGUCGGGUCGUCGGUACCCGUAAUAGUCGGAGUACGUAAAGGUAUGGUUUCUGGAACCUUCAGCUCCGUUUCUUCUUUCUCUCUCUUCUGCGCCAUGUUUUCUUAGCCUUGAACAAGUUUAGCUUUCUAGAGAGAAAAAUUGAGUAUUUUUUGAUUUAUUGAGUUGAUGAGCUGAAAUGGAAAUGAUGGGGAAAUGGGGAGAGGGAGAUAAGGGAGUGUUUGGAUGACGGGGGUUUUGAGAGAGAGAGAAAUGAAAAAUUUAAGAGAGUAUUUUUAAAAGGGAGGAUUUUUUUUUUGUUUUAUAAUUAAAGAUAAGUCGGUAAAAGGUAGGAGAAUAUGGGCCUUAAUGGAGCAUCAUACGUUUCUUUUUGUGGAGAUUGCAGUGACAGUUAUGCCCCUACGAAAUGAAUUAUAUGACGGCAAUAUCCAUAAAGCUAUCAGCCCUGACGUGUUGCUUCGUAGACAGAGGUGAAGAUUAGGAUGUUCUUUUCUUGGCCAUUCAGCACAACAUGAGCCGGAAAAUUUUAUUUUUU